AGCAUGUGGUUAAUUCGAAGCAACGCGAAGAACCUUACCAGGCCUUGACAUGCAGAGAACUUUCCAGAGAUGGAUUGGUGCCUUCGGGAGCUCUGACACAGGGUGCUGCAUGGCUGUCGUCAGCUCGUGUCGUGAGAUGUUGGGUUAAGUCCCGUAACGAGCGCAACCCUUGUCCUUAGUUACCAGCACGUUAAGGUGGGCACUCUAAGGAGACUGCCGGUGCAACGAGGAAGUGGGAUGACGUCAAGUCAUCAUGGCCCUUACGGCCUGGGCUACACACGUGCUACAAUGGUCGGUACAAAGGGUUGCCAAGCCGCGAGGUGGAGCUAAUCCCAUAAAACCGAUCGUAGUCCGGAUCGCAGUCUGCAACUCGACUGCGUGAAGUCGGAAUCGCUAGUAAUCGUGAAUCAGAAUGUCACGGUGAAUACGUUCCCGGGCCUU
rnacentral:rRNA from 1 species